CAGAAGCGACGAAGAGAGUGGAGGUGGACUUGUCAAAGACGAUGAAGGCGAAACUGCCGCUGAGAUGACCAACGACGUGGCUGGGCGGGUAGGGUGCCCGGUCACGGAGAGCCUUGUAAGCUUCAAUCAUGAGAAUCACCUCAUUCGCUGAUUUGGCUAAGCCGUAUUGUUGCCUUAAGCUUCCUAAAUUGUCCAAAACUCCCUCGAAUAAACAGAAAAUGUCGUCCUUCACCGCGAAAGAUCUGUUGUCACGUUAUUAAGUAAAUUCGUUAAUUCAGUUAAUUGACAUCCCUGCCCUCCUUAGUAAGCAUUAAUGAUGAGUUACGUUACGUGGCCCAUGUUUCUGUAAGAUUAUUUUAUCAAUAGAUUUCAAAAAAAUUACUAACCUUCUUGCACCAAAACCAAGAACAAUUAAAAGAACAAUAUAUUUAUUGUUGCGUAGUACAGUUUUUAUAUGGCCCCAUGACACUUCAAGUUGAUGCUUUGAUUCAAUUGUUAACUCUUGUUUUUCUAGUUUGGGUCCCUAACCGAAGUUUUAAUUAGUUAAACUAGGUUGAGGUUUAUGAAGUAAUUAAAUCUCUAAAAAGGAUGGUUGAGAUUAGUGGCCAAUGUAAAAAAAAAAAAAUGUUGAAUUUUAUAAUCGAGUAAAUACAAUAUGAAAAAGAGAGUAAGGAGUAAGCAUUAAACAUGGGCCUAUGCUAGCCAUGAUAUUGAUAACAUUUAGAAAAUGUAAAGAUGGGGCUUUGAAUCUAGAUCUAAAGGGAGUUCUAUUUUCCAACUGAUCUAACUUUUACAAUUGAUAUAAAUAUAUAUAUAUAGUAUAAGGUUAAGGGCGAGUCCCUUAAAACCUAUGUUAAAUUCUCUAACUAGACCGGGCAAUCGAUGGUUGAGUGAUGUGUAAAAAAUUACCCCAUUUAUAUUUUAAUGAAGCAAUUAAAAUUCUAUUUUGUUGAGUGUAAUGGUAAUCCACCUUAAGAAAAGUCAAAGAAUUGAUAAGCAACUAAAGGGAAUUAAGAAAUGAAGAAGAAAGAACAAUUAUUUAAAUUGAUACUAAUUGCUAUCUAAAUAAUACACCCAUCAUUAAAUAUAUAUAUAUAUAUAUAUAUAUAUAUAUAUAUAUAUAUGUUUACUUUAUGCAAUUAAUCCAGUGGAUAAGUUCCAAAAGAGAGGACAAAAAUUAGGUAACACGUGUCAUAAGGGCAAUGGAUACUUGUCAGAGAAAUUUACUGAGGAGGGUGUCCACUGACUUUGAUCGCACGUGCCACCACUGGAUCGACAAAUCGCAGCCAUUCAAUGUUGCUCACUACAAUUUUUUCAUCAAUAAAGUUUUCUUUCUCCAACCUGUUUUUAUGUUAUUUCUACGCUUAGAUUUAUCGUAGAUACUAAAUUUUAUUAUUGUACUUAAAAAUUAAUUUUGAUAGUUUAAAUUAAAUUUUAUUCCAGAUUAUAGGACGCCGACAAAGAAAAGACCGACAAUUCCAAAAUAUAUUUCCGUCGGUUUCCGUCCCGUUUUUUCUCAGCAACCAAACACCCCAUCAAUUUAACGGCGGAGAUUUGAAGAACUAAAACCCUCCGUCACCCUGAACCGUUCGAUCACCAAUUUCGAUUCCGUUUAAUUUACAAGUAAUUCGAAAAAUAAAAAAAGAUUCCGGUACGGCAGCGGUGGAUUUAAAUGGAGUAAUUUACCUGGGGCAUAAGGCGGAUUCAGUUUCGUGAGUGUAAGCAAGCUGGACGUGGUCACCGAGCUGCAGCGACACGGCGGAAGGGUUGGUUUGGACGAAGCGGUUGAGUAGAGUGGCGGAUGUGGUUUUCGGCGAGGGCGUACGGCUUCCAGCAGCGACUAACUCGUCCGGCGGGGACAUGAUGGAACUGCUGAAUAAUCCCAACAUGGCUUCACUUUCAAAUAAUAAUAAUAAUAACAACAACAAAUGAAGGAAAAGAAAAAGAAAAAGAAAAGAAACGGAGAGAGUUGUUUAGGGAAUUGGUGAAGGUGGAAAUAUGAGAAGGUUGGACAUGGGAGAGUGAUCGCUUGCAUUGUUGGUAUAUAUAGGAGAGGAUGAGGGUAUUGUGGUCAUUUUACAUAAUUUUUGUUUCUUUUAUUUUUUAGAAGAAAGCAAAAGAAAUAAUUUCUACUUCUUGUUGUUAUUUUUAAAAAAAAAAAAGAGAAAAAGAAAAACAAUGGUUAAUUACCGGUGUGGACUGAGAAGGAGAGGAAAAGAAAUAAAUAGGUGGAAGGCAGCCAGGUGGAGGAGGACACUGAAAUCUGGCCGGCGGGACCCACUUGCUGGCGAUGAUUCCUGGACUUCCCCCAUUGAUGACGUGGAUAAUAUGCUUUUAUAAAAUGUUUGAAUUCAUGAUGUG
rnacentral:lncRNA from 1 species